GACCUCAAAUCAGGUAGGAUUACCCGCUGAACUUAAGCAUAUCAAUAAGCGGAGGAAAAGAAACUAACAAGGAUUCCCCUAGUAACUGCGAGUGAAGCGGGAAGAGCUCAAAUUUAAAAUCUGGCGGUUUCACCGUCCGAGUUGUAAUCUGGAGAAGUGUUAUCCGUGCUGGACCGUGUACAAGUCUCUUGGAAUAGAGCGUCAUAGAGGGUGAGAAUCCCGUCUUUGCCACGGACUGCCAGUGCAUUGUGAUGCGCUCUCAACGAGUCGAGUUGUUUGGGAAUGCAGCUCAAAACGGGUGGUAAACUCCAUCUAAAGCUAAAUAUUGGCGAGAGACCGAUAGCGAACAAGUACCGUGAGGGAAAGAUGAAAAGAACUUUGGAAAGAGAGUUAAACAGUACGUGAAAUUGUUGAAAGGGAAACGCUUGAAGUCAG
rnacentral:rRNA from 1 species